rnacentral:rRNA from 1 species
GACUCUCGACAACGGAUAUCUCGGCUCUCGCAUCGAUNAAGAACGUUGUGAAAUGCGAUACUUGGUGUGAAUUGCAGAAUCCCGUGAACCAUCGAGUCUUUGAACGCAAGUUGCGCCCGAAGCCGUCAGGCCGAGGGCACGUCUGCCUGGGCGUC